GUUGUUAUUGUUGCCUUAUCGUGCUCACACUCCGCCGCUGAUCGCUCUGCUUCCUCUCUGUUAAUGGAGGCACUUAACACACACACUUUCUCUCUCUCUAUGGAGCUCCCUCUCCCUUUCUUUGGAGCUAAGUCACAGUGAUGCGUAUUUGGCCAGUUAACAGCUUUGAAGGGGAAAUGUCGUCGUAAAAAAUUUAAAAGGUUCGCCUGCCCUGCCUGAAAAAUGAAAGCAAUCCGCCUACUAUGAGUUCAGGUAAAUUUAAGGAUCCACCCGACGAUGAUUUACGUAAAUAAAAAAAAAAAAAACACAUAUUUCUUUUCAAAUAAU